GACGAACGCUGGCGGCGUGCCUAAUACAUGCAAGUAGAACGCUGAAGGAGGAGCUUGCUUCUCUGGAUGAGUUGCGAACGGGUGAGUAACGCGUAGGUAACCUGCCUGGUAGUGGGGGAUAACUAUUGGAAACGAUAGCUAAUACCGCAUAAGAGUAGAUGUUGCAUGAUAUUUGCUUAAAAGGUGCAAUUGCAUCACUACCAGAUGGACCUGCGGUGUAUUAGCUAGUUGGGGGGGUAACGGCUCACCAUGGCGACGAUACAUAGCCGACCGGAGACGGUGAUCAGCCACACUGGGACUGAGACACGGCCCAGACUCCUACGGGAGGCAGCAGUAGUGAUUCUUCGGCAAUGGGCGGAAGUCUGACCGAGCAACGCCGAGUCAGUGAGGAGGAAUGACGGAUCGUAAAGCUCUGUUGUAAGAGAAGAACGAGUGUGAGAGUGGAAAGUUCACACUGUGACGGUAUCGUACCAGAAAGGGACGGCUAACUACGUG
rnacentral:rRNA from 1 species